rnacentral:rRNA from 1 species
UGGGGAAUAUUGCACAAUGGGGGAAACCCUGAUGCAGCGACGCCGCGUGAGCGAAGAAGGUUUUCGAUUCGUAAAGCUCUGUCCUAUGAGAAGAUAAUGACGGUAUCAUAGGAGGAAGCCCCGGCUAAAUACGUGCCAGCAGCCGCGGUAAUACGUAUGGGGCGAGCGUUGUCCGGAAUUAUUGGGCGUAAAGGGUACGUAGGCGGUCUAUUAAGUCAGGUGUGAAAGCGUGAGGCUUAACCUCAUUAAGCACUUGAAACUGAUAGACUUGAGUGAAGGAGAGGAAAGUGGAAUUCCUAGUGUAGCGGUGAAAUGCGUAGAUAUUAGGAGGAAUACCGGUGGCGAAGGCGACUUUCUGGACUUUUACUGACGCUCAGGUACGAAAGCGUGGGGAGCAAACAGG